GACGAACCCUGGCGGCGUGCUUAACACAUGCAAGUCGAACGGAGCGAAUGAAAGCUUGCUUUUAUAAGCUUAGUGGCAAACGGGUGAGUAACACGUAGACAACCUGCCGACAGGAUGGGGACAACAUUCCGAAAGGAAUGCUAAUACCGAAUGAAGUGCAGGGGAGGCAUCUCCCCUGCAUGAAAGAUGGCCUCUUUUUAUGCUAUCACCUGUUGAUGGGUCUGCGUCUGAUUAGCUGGUAGGUGAGGUAACGGCUCACCUAGGCGACGAUCAGUAGCCGGUCUGAGAGGAUGAACGGCCACAUUGGGACUGAGACACGGCCCAGACUCCUACGGGAGGCAGCAGUGGGGAAUCUUCCGCAAUGGGCGCAAGCCUGACGGAGCAACGCCGCGUGAGUGAAGAAGGUCUUCGGAUCGUAAAGCUCUGUUGAUGGGGACGAACGUGCCUAAUGCGAAUAGUUUUAGGCAA
rnacentral:rRNA from 1 species